GAGUUUGAUCUUGGCUCAGGAUGAACGCUAGCGGCAGGCUUAACACAUGCAAGUCGAGGGGCAGCAUGGCCAGCAAUGGCUGAUGGCGACCGGCAAACGGGUGCGGAACACGUACGCAAUCUACCGUUACCUGGGGCAUAGCCCGGUGAAAACCGGAUUAACUCCCCAUAGUAUAGUUAAAAGGCAUCUUUUGAUUAUUAAAAAUUUAUUGGGUAAUGAUGAGCGUGCGUCCCAUUAGCUAGUUGGUAGGGUAAAGGCCUACCAAGGCGACGAUGGGUAGCUGGUGUGAGAGCACGACCAGCCACACUGGGACUGAGACACGGCCCAGACUCCUACGGGAGGCAGCAGUGGGGAAUAUUGGACAAUGGGCGAAAGCCUGAUCCAGCCAUGCCGCGUGAGUGAAGAAGGCCCUAGGUUGUAAAGCUCUUUCAGCGGGGAAGAUAAU
rnacentral:rRNA from 1 species